rnacentral:lncRNA from 1 species
CAUAAGGUGUGCAAAAGUGAGCCACCCAAAAGUAUUACAGAGUUAGUUUACUGAUAUCUCAUCACAAAAAACAGCACGAAAAAAGAAGAAACAAAUCAAGUUACAAUAAAACACCCAUACUAUAAAGGGUACCGCCAUCAGUCAGUGUAACUAUAGGUGAAAGUAGUCAGACUAGCCUUUAACCAUUUGUAAGACACACGCUUUACGUUGUCCGUUAUUUGAGGAAGAUCCAAGGCCUGCUGAUUGAAAACUCGGUUGUUCCUUUCCUUCCAAAUUACCCAGAUACAUGCGAGCCAUAACAAUUUCAUGAAGGAAUGUGUAAAUCUUGGUAUCCCGACAAUGUGACUGAACUGAAGAAAGUGAUCAUGGACCCUGUCUGUAGCAACGAAAGAGAUACCCAACCAACGCAUAACAAGUGACCACACGCAUCCAAAAGUAGCACAACUCAAAAAUAGAUGAUUUGCAGUCUCCACAACAUCGCAACCUCUUAUACACUUGUUGUCAUCAUGUUGAAGCACACGGCGCCGCACAAGAUUAUCUUUUGUCAGUAGUCUGUUGCGAAGAAGUCUCCAAGCAAAUAAUGAAACCUUCGGUGGAACAUGCUUAUGUCAAACAUCAUCAAACAUACCCCUUGCAAGAGCUUCGUCAAUUGUCAUGAGAAAAUGAUAAGUUCCCUUAAUGGAAUAUCCAUUAACGGGAUUGAGAAGUCAUUGCUACAUGUCAGUAAUAACACCUUGCAAAACAACAUUAUGCAGUAAAUCAGAGCACUCUCUAAUACACUCCUCCUCCCAGGCUAACAGGC